AUGAAUCUUGAAGACGGUUUGCCACCCCUGUCCAAUCAUGUCAGGGGGCCUUCACAGCACACAUAUAUUUUAGACAAGACAGCGACUUUACCUACACCAAUGAAGAAGAGAGUUCAGGAGAAAGUAGAAGAAAUUGGAUCUAGUUUUCCUAUAUAUGUGAAGAAAAUGACCAAAACCUCUAUUGAAGGCACCAAGAGCAGUAAUAGAGGAAGACGGAAAUGUCCUGUCGUGACUUUUUGCAAGGAAUUUGCUUCGGCAUGGCUCCCCAACAAGAGAACAGAAAUUUUCCUUCAGGUAGAGGGCAAUACGGAGCCAUGGUCUACCAGCUUCAAAGUUGAAGGUGUGGGACGUCCUGACAAAAAGAGUUGGAUUUACAGCGGGUGA
rnacentral:rRNA from 1 species